GUGUGGAGAAGGCUAAAAAAAUAUACACAAUAACAUAACAUAGGGUAAUGCUAAGUUUUUUAAAUGUACAAAAUGUACAUUAUUCUAGUAAUGGAAGCCAGGGGUCCCAGUAGAAGGUUGGCUAUGUGAAGAGGCUUUGUUUUAAAAAAUAUAUUCUUUUCUAGUAUUAUAUUUUCUUUUAGAUAGUUUUUCAGCUCUGAAAAAAUUACUUGAUUU
rnacentral:lncRNA from 1 species